rnacentral:tRNA from 1 species
GAGGUUGUGACUCAAGCGGUAGAGUGCUCACCUAGCACCUGUGAGGCACUGGGUUCAAUCCUCAGCACCACA